AAAGGAAUAAAAGUGAAUUUAAAGGGAUUGUGGAAGUUGAACUAAACAAUAUUUUAUUCAAUUUUCAUCAAUAUCACUUAUUGCAGCCAAUUUCUCUUCUCUUUGCUUUUUAUUUUUCUCUUUUUCUCUUUUUUUUUUCAUUCAUUUUUUUGGAAGGAAUGUGAAAAGAACAUGAACAUUCUUAUUUCUUUUCUUUUUUUUUUCUAUUUAUUUUUUUUACUUUUUUUUCAUGCCAACUUUAAAACA
rnacentral:lncRNA from 1 species